GGUGCCCUUGACGGUAUCUCCUCCGGUGAACUUCUUGGUGACGGCGAACUCCCAGGCGUUCUUGUUGGUGUCGAAGAGGGGUUCGAUGGUGGUGAGGCGGUCGACCCCGUGCGCGUAGGUGUACUUGACGCGGCAGCCGCCGGAGCCGAGCGAGUGGGAGAGGGUGACCUUGUUGGCGGGGUCGAAGGUGACGCUGCAGUCAAGCGCGGUGCGGGAGGGCAGCGCGGCGGCGGGGGGCGCGGGGGCCGGGGCGAAACUGGUG
rnacentral:lncRNA from 1 species